rnacentral:rRNA from 1 species
AUGAAUGCCACAAAAUCAAGGAAAUAUGUUAGUGCGAGGGAGUACUAUGCCUUCAAGCUGCAGGUCCGGAAAAAGCUUUUUAACAUCAUCUUGUUUGGGGGGCGCCUUUUCCAACAGUGGGCGGUUGACAUGUACAUCAAGAUUGAGACAAUGAUGCUUGACCGGUACUCAAAGCCAACAAAUCAAAAGGUCAUACGCGCUGACCUCUACCAGGGCCUUGUUGACACCGUCAUCGCUGGCGAGUCACGCGGUGAUCGUAUUGGCAAGAGAAUCGUGCUUCCACGUACCUUUCCUGGUGGUGACCGUGACAUGCAACGCAGGUUCCUAGAUGCAAUGGCAAUAGUUCAACGAUGGGGUAAACCGGAUUAUUUUGUCACGAUGACAUGCAAUCCCUACUGGGAGGAGAUAACUAUUGAAUUGUUGCCUGGACAGCUGCCACAAGACCGUCCAGACCUUGUGGCAAGAGUAUAUAGAGCUAAACAACGAUCCAUGAUGGACUUACUGAUUAAGGGUAAGCAUUUUGGAGAAGUUGCGGCUUAUGUACAUGUCACUAAGUUUUAG